GCCCAUUGCAGUGUACGCUGGUAACCAGUUUGCCGAGUUCCCAGGAAGCCCUCCAGGAGGACACAUCCAGCAGCAACUGUUGCCAGUCAGUAGCUGGGGACGGACCUUCAUCAUACAUGCUACUCAAGUGAAUGUCUUCAGAGUGACAGCAGCCUUUGAAUUCACCACAGUCACCCUUACCAAUGGAAUGUCUCAGAACAUUGACGUCCAAUCCACGUGGGAGUUUGAAUUGACGUCUGAACAGUACCUCAUAAUGACAUCCACACAGCCGAUUCAGGUUGUGGUGUUCCAGAAGGGAAGAUCAGUGAACAACAUUCAAAUUGGACCUACCAUGCUGACCUUGUCCCCCACUGAGCAGUGGGCCUCGACAUACAGUCUUACAACUUUGGAACUCCCAGGAGUCUCCAGUAUACACUAUCUAGUCCUCUUCGUCAGAAGUGCGG